ACACCGAAGUCAAGCAUCAUUGGGCGCGGUCAGUACUUGGGUGGGUGACCACCUGGGGACACCGCGUGCCGUU